UUCACCUCAGAUUGUCCUUUACACGUCCCUCCUCCCUCACUCACCACCCCACAACAAGCAAUCUCUCUCUUACAAGAAAGUAACACCGAAGAUGAUGGCAAGGUCUCCGGCGAAAGAAAAGAACAGAUUUGACAAACUAGGGAUCCAGGUGACCGAUCUACUUUAGUGAACCAAUGACUGCGAUACGACUAAACCUACGAUUCCGGCAAAAGAGAACACCGACAAGCAUUGGCAAAGCUUUAAGGGGCGGCCGACCUCCUGUUUUAUAGAAAUUUUUAGGUCCGGUGACUUCCGCCUCGUCGGAAAUCUCAAGCCGCCGACAAGGGAUCUUCCGACGAUUAAGAUCCUAUUGUUGAAGAAAUUAGUAAGCCGCUAUAUUUAAAGACUCAGGUGUUAAAAGCUGCUAUGAAACCAUGAAAAUGGAUUUUCAUCAAGGUCAUGGUGUAGAGGUGAUUACUUAAUAUUACAUUCUAUCAUUAUUCUUUUAUGUUACAUUGAGGUGUCUUUUGAUCAAAAAGUACACAGAUAAACAAAUAUGCAUAGGGUUUUCCAUGCUGCACCUUUUUUUUCUAACCAUCAAACAACAAGUAAUUAAAUUAAAGAUAUAGAAUUAGAGACAAAGUGAGGUGAAAAUAUUAAGUUGCUUAUGUGAUAUUGAGCCUUCACAAACGGUUGCUACACAUUUGUUUGUGGUCUAUAUGAUGUUGAGCAUGGCAAGUCAAAGUCCGAUCACAAGCCGGAGCAUAAGGAAGGUAUUAUUGAUAUGCAUAAGAACAAAAUUCACGGCGAAGAUAGCGCCAGCAAGGAAGAGUGCGGUGAAGGUGAUCGACGUGUCUUUUAUAGACAAAAAGGAGAAUGAAGGUCAUCGCGGCGACGACGAUAGCAGUAGAAGCAACGACAGCAAUAAGAUCUCAACUGUUGUUCAGUGGUACUGUGUGCUGAUUGGUGGAACGGAGAUAGCGUGGUAACUGGAGGGGUGGAUUCAAAGCUGUGAAUAUCUUCUAAAGUUUGUAUUUCAUAACUGUGAAGAAAGGCGAGUGAUGGUUACUAAUAGCAAGUUUGGCAUCUUUGAAUUAAAGAGAUAUUUAGGGUCUUUGUCUCAGUCGAUGUAUUUGCCAAACUGCACAAUAUUGAUUUAUCACCAAAUCAUUAAUAUUUUACACUUUAAUGUUUUCCUUGCGAAACAUGUUUUGUGUGAUUCAAGCUUACUGAUGUUUUUUAAGUUUUG